GACGAACGCUGGCGGCGUGCCUAAUGCAUGCAAGUAGAACGCUGAAGGAGGAGCUUGCUCUUCUGGAUGAGUUGCGAACGGGUGAGUAACGCGUAGGUAACCUGCCUGGUAGCGGGGGAUAACUAUUGGAAACGAUAGCUAAUACCGCAUAAGAGUAGAUGUUGCAUGACAUUUACUUAAAAGGUGCAAUUGCAUCACUACCAGAUGGACCUGCGUUGUAUUAGCUAGUUGGUGGGGUAACGGCUUACCAAGGCGACGAUACAUAGCCGACCUGAGAGGGUGAUCGGCCACACUGGGACUGAGACACGGCCCAGACUCCUACGGGAGGCAGCAGUAGGGAAUCUUCGGCAAUGGACGGAAGUCUGACCGAGCAACGCCGCGUGAGUGAAGAAGGUUGUCGGAUCGUAAAGCUCUGUUGUAAGAGAAGAACGAGUGUGAGAGUGGAAAGUUCACACUGUGACGGUAUCUUACCAGAAAGGGACGGCUAACUACGUG
rnacentral:rRNA from 1 species